GUCUCAGCUGCCGCUCUCGCCGGGCUGGCCCGGCCCUUUCCCGGCCCGUCCCUGUCUCUCCGUGCGGUCCCACAGCCGAGGGAGGCCUCGCGCGCCCUCAGGGGCCGCUAACGGCGCGCGCGCCCCGGCACGUGCGGGCAGCGCGGGCCCGCGUUCCCGCCGCGCGCUCUCCCAUUGGCUGCUCGGGGCGGGGGCGGGGCCGCGCCGUGAGGGCGGUGGCGCUGAGGGGCCGGGAGCUGCGGUCGGAGAUGGCCGCGCUGCUCCGCUGGGAAGGGCGAAGGGGCAGCUGGUGUGUUCCUCCAGGCGAUGUAUUAUCUAAUUGUAGAAAAUACGUAGGCCAUCUCAGCCACAAUCCAGGGAACAAAAGACCAUAUUAAAAAGAUGUUUUGGCAAUACAAGGUACUUCAGUUCUCCUUAACAAAGUUUUUAGGGUUUUUUUUGAGGAAAAAAAAAGCAAUGUUAAAAAGUCCUGAGAGUUGUGCUGCCUCCUUCCCUCCCACCAAAAUUCAGAAGAAGACACAUGUGGUCAGCUAAACAGAGAUGCUUUCUUAAAUAUAACAGGUUUGCUUGAUAGCAAAUGGAUCACACAGCCACACCCUACUGAGAGUUCAUUUCUGCAGCCAUCCUAAAAAGUUUUACAAGGAGCAGCAAUUCUCAGAGAAAACAAUGUUUAAGGUGAUGCAAAUAAUUUCCAAAAAUAAAGUGCUCUGUUCCAUAACCCUGGGUGUCUGUGGAUACAGAUCUGCCCAAGCACUUCCCAGCUCCAGCCGUGCAUUUGGAUGUUUAUGCCUCAGACAUUGACAAAGAAAGAGAAAACAUGAGAUGGAAUAUAUCAGAAAUAUUAAUAAAGGAAGAGGAAUUUACUGAUGUGUUGCAAAACCUUUCCAAGCUUUGAUUAGGAAGAAGAUAGUGAUAUCCAAAGCUAACAAGUCAGAAGUAAGCUACAAAACCAAACCAGAAUCAUCAAGAACUAAAUGCCAAAGCACAGGACAUAAUUAUGGUAUCACAUGAUGGGCUUCUUGAGGACAGAGGCUGUGCUCCUGUGUCCAGUUCAGGGCAGAAGAUGAGAAACAUGACAUACUGAUUUUUACUCAAGGGAUGAUAAAGAACAAGGUGAAAAAUGGCAAUUUCUGCAAUUCUAAACAAAAGAUAAGUUCCACCUGUGCCAAGAUACAUCCUGGAGUUAAAAAAGAAAUUCUUGAGUACAUGUAUGAGGCCUGAUUAUUUAUAAAGCAGGGAUUAACAAAAAUGCCUGUCAUAUUUACAUUUCCAUAUUAACAGUGAAACUGCUAAUCACCAUAAUUCACAGCUUGGGGUUUCUAUUUUUAAAGUAUAUUUGCAAGCUGAAGAGGGUUCAUGAUGAAGCUAUAGGAAAUAAAAUACAAAUUUUGAUUUUUGAGAUUAUGGAAAGAAAUAUGCAAGAUCUUCAGUCCUCAGCCCACCCAGUUUAACAGUGUUAAUGAUUUACCUUUUGGCUGGAGAACUACUUGGUGGCUUUUUGAUAAGUAACAGGUUAAAAAAUAUCACAUUGAAGAUUAAUUCUGUAAAUUAAGGGCAUACCUUUCCAAAUUUUCUAUGAUGGAAUUUAAAAGCAGUAGAAAAACAUCUUUCGCUUUGCUUUCAGGCCAUACAGAGAAAGCAUCUGUGGGCAGAGUUAUCUUUAAGCAAUUUUUCCCCUCAUCCUCUCAUCUACCAGUAUCUAUAGUUUCUAAGUCUUUUUGCUGGAAACAUUACAUAAAGUUCAUACUUUUUAAAACCUGCAGACUGAUCCCAAAAUAACUGGCAAGGGGAGUUCUGCAAAUACAUCAGCACUAGUUAAAACUGGAUGUCCAAGAAAAGAUCUUCAGCAGUACCCUUGCUUCCCAGCUUGCAGUUGUGUAAUUCCUCUCUUGAUUUCUGAACUACAACAUUUGGAAAUAUGAGAUUGCAUAUUCAGGGAAAAAAAAGGCACUUCCAUCAGAUUUCUAGCACAUUCUCAUUUUUCACAGACAGUAGUCCCAACAGAACUCAUUCCAAUACACUCAUGAACCCAAUUCAUUUCCAAUAUUAUAGUAUCCUUGGCUGAUUUUUUUCAUCUCAUCUGCCCUGACAGAACUAGAUCUCCUUUUGGGAUGGGUUCUGUAUGUUUACACUUUAUGGAAAGCACAUUUACCAGUUUCAUUGAGUCUAAGAGUGGCCUGGGACUUUUCCAAGCCUGUGAAUUACAACAACCAGCUUUAGGACACAUCCAUGCUCAGGCCUAUCACUAUCCUUAAGUCUUGGUGACAGAUUCACAGUUCCCAUCAAAAGACUAUGAGCAAACUGCACCUUUAUAGUGACUUGCCUUAACACUGCUCAGAUAACAAAGACAAAUGAUCAUUCAACAAACACCCUGAAUAGGAGGAUCUCACAUUUUAUCUGCUAAGAAAAAUAAAAUAAUAAUUAAAAAUAGUGCCUACAUAAUAAUGGGGUUGGGAGCUGGGCUAUUUUUUGUGUGUAUGCGUGGGAUUAAAAAAA